AUGCUACGAAGAACACCUGAGGAUCUUGUAGAUGAAAAACGCUCUGGGUGUUCUCAAAGCAACAUGGAGUCUAGCACAAAGACUCCGGGAGAGAGGCAUUAUGUCAAUAUGCAGUGGGCAUUGUUCUUUUACGAGUGUGGCAUUCCAUUCAAUGCUGCAAGUAGUAGGCAGUUUGAGGUCGCAAUUGAAGCCUCUUGUCAAUAUGGUUCAGGUUACAAGCCUCCUAGUGCACAUGAGCUGAGAGAGCCAUUGCUUAAUGAUUGUGUGAAGGAAACAGGACUUUUGAGGAGGCAACACGAGUCAGCAUGGAAAAAAUAUGGAUGCACACUCAUGUCGGAUGGCUGGUCGGAUAAAAGAGGACGCCAUUUGAUUAACUUCCUUGUUAAUAGUCCAGAGGGCACUUUCUUUUUGGAGUCGGUUGAUGCCUCAAGUGUAUGUCAUGACGGUGAUAUGAUAGCUGAUUUGCUUGAGAAGAGAAUUCUGGAUGUUGGAAAAGAGAAUGUGGUACAAGUUGUCACCGAUAAUGGUGCUAAUUACAAGAAAGCUGGUCACCUUCUAAUGGAGAGGAUGCCUACUCUAUAUUGGAGCCCGUGUGCAUGUCAUUGCUUGGACCUAAUGUUGGAAGAUAUAGGAAAGUUGAAGGCAUUUAAGAAGCCUAUUGCAGGGGCUAGACGUGUCACAACUUUCAUCUAUAGACAUGGAAGACUUCUUAGUCCAAUGAGGAAGGCCACGGGUGGGGAUCUUGUGAGACCAGCAGCCACUCGUUUUGCCACAGCCAUCCUCACACUUAGGAGUUUGGUCAAGAACAAGGCUGCAUUGAGGAGUUUAUUUACAUCUGAUGAAUGGGUUGGAAACAAGUUAGCAAAAACACAAGUUGGCUUGAAUGUGCAAGAGAUUAUACUUUCAACGGAGUGGUGGAGCGCAAUUGAGGACUGCCUUAGAGCUUCAACUCCACUUCUUAGAGUUCUUAGAGUAGCGGAUGGUGAUGAGAAGCCUGCCAUGCCAGAGAUUAAAGCACUUAUGAUUUAUGCAAAGGAGAGGCUCAAUCUAGGUUUCCCUCAACAAAACAAGCAACCAUUGCUCAAGAAGAUCUUGGCCAUUGUUGACAAGCGUUGGGAGAAUCAAAUGGAUCAUCCAUUGUAUGGGGCUGCUCUAUUUUUGAACCCAGGAAAGUUCUUUCCUAUUGUAAGCAGAAAUGAUGAUGCCUUAGUUGGGGAGCUUAGGAGCUGCUUUAAUGAUGUGCUUGCAAAAAUGGUACCGGAUGCCAAUGUUCGAAAAAAGAUUGAUCAACAAUCUGUGCUCUAUGAGGGCCAGCGAGAAGGCUUUUCUAAUCCAUUGGCACUCGAGACCAUGAGCACAAGAAACCCUCGUGAGUCAUAUUAA
rnacentral:rRNA from 1 species